rnacentral:rRNA from 1 species
UACGUAGGGGGCUAGCGUUGUCCGGAAUCAUUGGGCGUAAAGCGCGUGUAGGCGGUCCGGUAAGUCCGCUGUGAAAGUCGGGGCUCAACCCUCGAAUGCCGGUGGAUACUGUCGGCUAGAGUGCGGAAGAGGCGAGUGGAAUUCCUGGUGUAGCGGUGAAAUGCGUAGAUAUCAAGAGGAACACCUGAGGUGAAGACGGGUUGCUGGGCUGACACUGACGGCUGAGGCGACGAAAGCCAGGGGAGCAAACGGG